AUUUCCCUCAAUCCAAACAAAGGGCAAGGGUAAUCACUGAACACACAGCUCAGCGAAGGUAGUUAGCUAAUGCUCCAACUAUAAUGAAUAGACAUCGGUAAUUCAAUAUGCACUAUGAAAAAUAAGUAUAUUGCUUAACCAUGAAAGAUACCCAAAAUUUGAAACUAAGCACUACAUAUGAAUUCAAGAUUUUAAAAUCCAUAAUGCACAAAUUCAUUUGAUACCGCCAGAACAAAAGCAACUAUCAAAAGCAAAUGUGAUGAAAACAAAAGAAGGAAAGCCUAGGCUUGUUUGAUUUUCUUUUAUAUGAGCAAGCAAGCUUAAAGUAAGAAUCACC
rnacentral:misc_RNA from 1 species